UUUUAACCUUCCUGAGUCUGAGGGUGCUAUUAACCUUCCUGAGUCAGGUUUUUUUUAACCUUCCUGAGUCUGAGGGUGCUUUUAACCUUCCUGAGUCUGAGGGUGCUUUUAACCUUCCUGAGUCUGAGGGUGCUUUUAACCUUCCUGAGUCUGAGGGUGGUUUUAAACUUCCAGACUUGGAAUUAUAUCAACUCUCUACCCAAGGCUUUUACUUGUGACAUAUAGUUAAAUGCACUCACGAGGAACAAUGGGUACAUAAUCAAAAUGCGCAUGCUCAUCCCCAGAAUCUUUUUACGUGUCUAUUUUCAAAGAUAAAGCUAAGAACGUGAACAACUUCAUAGUUAAAAACAGUAUAACAAUAUGGAAGAAGAUCAAACAUAUUUUACAAGAACCAAUGUCACUCCCUAAAAACACAACCAUUUGGAACAAGUCUUGGAUAGCUUUUCACGAUUCACUGAUAAAUUGGUCCACAUGGACAACUAAAGGCAUAGAAACCAUAAAUGACUUGGUAACAGGAAAUAAAUGUAUUUCCGUGACAGAAUUAAAAAGUCAUUUUGGACUGACCAAUGUAGAUACAGUAUUUUCAAAUUUUGCAACUUAAAAGUUUCAUAUCAUGAAAUGUUGCUUUUUAAGUCAUUUGGAUAUCAGAGAAACAUCGAGGGAAUCUUAUUUGAGUCAGAAAAGGCUGUUCAUGUGAUAGGUAAGAUAUAUAAAACUUUGCAGAGAGCAUAUCCAACUGACAACCUCUUAGAAAAAAAUAUUAACUAUUGGAACCAAGACUUAAAAAUAACUGAUGUUGGAGGGAAUGUUGGGACACAACUAACGAAGUUACAGUUGUCAAAAAGGUAGGCUUAAUCCAGUAUAAACUAAUGUAUAUAAUUUCUUAUACAAGAGACAUGAUUCACAAAUUCUACAGCACAAUGGCAGAAUCAUCUCUGACGUGUAAAACUAACAAUGACUCAAUAAUCCAUGAGUUCUGGGAACGUUAUAAAGUCCAAAAGUUAUGGGCAGAGUUAAACAGAUGGCUGUCAGAAGUAUUACAAUUUAAAUGGAAUUUUAAUUUGUUUGUCUGCACACCGCCCGGGCAUGCAUAAAUUCCUUGUUUUUGAAAGAAAAGCACAUUUUUUUGUCCAUUAAAAUAACAUCAAAUUGAUCAGAAAUACAGUGUAGACAUUGUUAAUGUUGUAAAUGACUAUUGUAGCCACCCCGCUGAUCCUCAACACUGGGGCUUCACAAGGGUGCGUGCUCAGCCCCUUCCUGUACUCCCUAUUCACCCACAACUGCGUGGCCAUCACGCCUCCAACUCAGUCAAGUUUGCAGACGACACUAGAGUGGUAGGCUUGAUUACCAACAACGACGAGACUGCCUACAGGAAGGAAGUGAGGGCCCUCGGAGUGUGGUGUCAGGAAAAUAACCUCGCACUCAACGUCAACAAAACAAAGGAGAUGAUCGUGGACUUCAGGAAACAGCAGAGGGAGCACCCCCCCAUCCACAUCGAUGGGACAGUAGUGGAGAAGGUGGAAAGUUUUAAGUUCCUCGGCGUAGACAUCACGGACAAACUGAAAUGGUCCACCCACACAGACAGCAUGGUGAAGAAGACGCAGCAGCGCCUCUUCAACCUCAGGAGGCUGAAGAAAUUUGGCUUGUCACCAAAAACACUCACAAACUUUUACAGCUGCACAAUCGAGAGCAUCCUGUCGGGCUGUAUCACCGCCUGGUACGGCAACUGCUCCGCCCACAACCGUAAGGCUCUCCAGAGGGUAGUGAGGUCUGCACAACGCAUCACCGGGGGCAAACUACCUGCCCUUCAGGAUACCUACGCCACCUGAUGUCACAGGAAGGCCAAAAAGAUCAUCAAGGACAACCACCACCCGAGCCACUGUCUGUUCACCCUGCUAGCAUCCAGAAGGCGAGGUCAGUACAGGUGCAUCAAAGCUGGGACCGAGAGACUGAAAAACAGCUUCUUUCUCAAGGCCAUCAGACUGUUAAACAGCCAUCACUAACAUUGAGUGGCUGCUGCCAACAUACUGACUCAAAUCUCUAGCCAUUUUAAUAAUUAAACAUUGGAUGUAAUAACUGUUUCACUAGUCACUUUAAACAAUGCCACUUUAUAUAAUGUUUACAUACCCUACAUUACUCAUCUCAUACUGUACUCUAUACCAUCUACUGCAUCUUGCCUAUGCCAUUCGGCCAUCACUCAUCCAUAUACAGUGGGGAGAACAAGUAUUUGAUUCACUGCUGAUUUUGCAGGUUAUCCUACUUACAAAGCAUGUAGAGGUCUGUAAUUUGUAUCAUAGGUAC
ensembl:lncRNA